rnacentral:rRNA from 1 species
GGACACCGGGGGGUGCGCGUAGAAGCAGCCAUCAAGUCAAAGGAGGCUGACUUGCGCACUGGAGGGGGGAUCCGGAGCAGAAGAUGCCCGGGUCUAAAACGUACAACCGAGUCUACGGCAGCAGAGAGUAUGGGUAGGGGAGCUUCCCAUACGGGUUGAAGCAUGACCGUAAGGACAUGUGGACAGUAUGGGAGUGAGAAGGUUGGCAGGAGUAGCGAGAUGUGGGUGAGAAUCCCACAGGCCGUAAACCCAAGGUUUCCAGGGGAAGGUUCGUCCGCC